ACGAACGCUGGCGGCGUGCUUAACACAUGCAAGUCGAACGGAAAGGCCCUGCUUUUGUGGGGUGCUCGAGUGGCGAACGGGUGAGUAACACGUGAGUAACCUGCCCUUGACUUUGGGAUAACUUCAGGAAACUGGGGCUAAUACCGGAUAGGAGCUCCUGCUGCAUGGUGGGGGUUGGAAAGUUUCGGCGGUUGGGGAUGGGCUCGCGGCUUAUCAGCUUGUUGGUGGGGUAGUGGCUUACCAAGGCUUUGACGGGUAGCCGGCCUGAGAGGGUGACCGGCCACAUUGGGACUGAGAUACGGCCCAGACUCCUACGGGAGGCAGCAGUGGGGAAUAUUGCACAAUGGGCGGAAGCCUAAUGCAGCAACGCCGCGUGCGGGAUGACGGCCUUCGGGUUGUAAACCGCUUUCGCCUGUGACGAAGCGUGAGUGACGGUAAUGGGUAAAGAAGCACCGGCUAACUACGUG
rnacentral:rRNA from 1 species